rnacentral:tRNA from 1 species
AAAAUAAAGUCUAGUGGGCAUGGCAUCUGCCCGGUAAGCGGAACACUGUGGGUUCGAUUCCCAUCCCUGAAAACUUUAUUUUU